rnacentral:rRNA from 1 species
GAUGAACGCUGGCGGCGUGCUUAACACAUGCAAGUCGAACGGAAAGGCCCAACCUUGCUUGGGUACUCGAGUGGCGAACGGGUGAGUAACACGUGGGUGAUCUGCCCUGCACUUCGGGAUAAGCCUAGGAAACUGGGUCUAAUACCGGAUAGGACCACAUUUUGGAUGGUGUGGUGGAAAGUUUUUCGGUGGGGGGUGAGCUCGCGGCCUAUCAGCUUGUUGGUGGGGUAAUGGCCUAUCAAGGCGUCGACGGGUAGCCGGCCUGAGAGGGUGUACGGCCACAUUGGGACUGAGAUACGGCCCAGACUCCUACGGGAGGCAGCAGUGGGGAAUAUUGCACAAUGGGCGGAAGCCUGAUGCAGCGACGCCGCGUGGGGGAUGACGGCCUUCGGGUUGUAAACUCCUUUCGCUAGGGACGAAGCGUAAGUGACGGUAACGGGAGAAGAAGCACCGGCUAACUACGUG